GUGUGUGUGUGUGUGUGUGUGUUUUUUUUCGAGGAACUCUGGACCCCCAUAGAUGUCCUGCUGCUGCUGCCCUCCCACAACCAGUGCUGGUUGUCCUGAGACCAGAUGACGACGCUCCGUUGACAGGAGGAGGAUGUCCAUGAACCAGGAGAGGUGUCAGUCUCUUAGAUAUGGAUGACCUGGAAGCUUGUUGUAGGCGGACUGAAUUUGUGAACCCUGCUUUGGGCAGAGUGUGGGGGGUCAGGCUUGCGCUAGCUUAAGGUUCAGAUGGUGUUUCCUUCGCUGCUAUUUGAAUUUGAUUUCUUUGUGCUUGUGAAUAUAUGUGAAGUACUCUAGUUCUAGAACAACAGACCCAGACUCUAAACGUAUUUGACUGUGUUGACUUUUAUGGGUCUAGUUCUUGAACUGGUACAGAACAUUUAUGAACAAGUGCUGGAUUUCGGUUUGAAUUCAUGUGGAGGUGGGCCAGGCUGGAUUUCAAGUUAGUUGUGGUUUGACCCCUCGUGGUCUGCUUGAAUGUUGGGGGAUCAUUGAAGGUGUAACUACUGGCUCCCAUUGGUCAAAGAUCCUGAGAGACUGACACAGGUUUAUGGAUUGGAGUUAAGUUAAGUACCUCCUUCAAUUCCUCUGUUACUUCAUCCCUUCACUCCCUUCACUCACUCCCUCACUCCCUUCACUCACUCCCUUGACUUCACUCCCUCACUCCCUUCACUCCUCCCUCUCUUGCUGAAAUGUGGACAUAUUGUGAUGGAGCCUUUGUUUUUCUCUGUGUUGUAUUUAGAGUGUUUCCUGUUGGUCCUUUGCUUGAGGUGGAAAGACUUGAAGCCAGUGAAGUGGUCUGGAUCCACGCCCUGGUCCAGUUCCAGAGGAAAGCAGAUGAGCCCAAGGAACUCUGGACCCCCAUAGAUGUCCUGCUGCUGCCCUCCCACAACCAGCGCUGGUUGUCCUGAGACCAGAUGACUACGCUCCGUUGACAGGAGGAGGAUGUCCAUGAACCAGGAGAGGUGUCAGUCUCUUAGAUGUGGAUGACCUGGAAGCUUGUUGUAGGCGGACUGAAUUUGUGAACCCUGCUUUGGGCAGAGUGUGGGGGGUCAGGCUUGCGCUAGCUUAAGGUUCAGAUGGUGUUUCCUUUGCUGCAAUUUGAAUUUGAUUUCUUUGUGCUUGUGAAUAUAUGUGAAGUACUCUAGUUCUAGAACAACAGACCCAGACUCUAAACGUAUUUGACUGUGUUGACUUUUAUGGGUCUAGUUCUUGAACUGGUACAGAACAUUUAUGAACAAGUGCUGGAUUUCGGUUUGAAUUCAUGUGGAGGUGGGCCAGGCUGGAUUUCAAGUUAGUUGUGGUUUGACCCCUCGUGGUCUGCUUGAAUGUUGGGGGGAUCAUUGAAGGUGUAACUACUGGCUCCCAUUGGUCAAAGAUCCUGAGAGACUGACACAGGUUUAUGGAUUGGAGUUAAGUUAAGUACCUCCU